CAGUCGGGGACCUAAUCUCUCAAAGUGAGC
rnacentral:sRNA from 1 species